CUACGGGGCGCUGCAGUGGGGAAUAUUGCACAAUGGAGGAAACUCUGAUGCAGCAACGCCGCGUGGAGGAUGACACUUUUCGGAGCGUAAACUCCUUUUAUAUAGGAAGAAGAUGACGGUACUAUAUGAAUAAGCGCCGGCUAACUCCGUGCCAGCAGCCGCGGUAAUACGGGAGGGCGCAAGCGUUACUCGGAAUCACUGGGCGUAAAGAGCGUGUAGGCGGAUUAAAAGGUCAGAAGUGAAAUCCUAUAGCUUAACUAUAGAACUGCUUCUGAAACUCUUAAUCUAGAAUAUGGGAGAGGUAGAUGGAAUUUCUGGUGUAGGGGUAAAAUCCGUAGAGAUCAGAAGGAAUACCGUUUGCGAAGGCGAUUUACUAGAACAUUAUUGACGCUGAGACGCGAAAGCGUGGGGAGCAAACAGGAUUAGAUACCCUUGUAGUC
rnacentral:rRNA from 1 species